UGGUGAUACCCAGACAGGUACUCGGGAACUAAGAGAUGGGAUACGCUGGAUGAAGGAAUGAUUCACAUCCCAGGCGGAAUGGGGCAGGAUGAUGCAAGAUUUCAUAGUUGAACUUUUUACCUGCAGUUAUACCCUCCCAGUUCAAACCUGUGUUGUUCAAGACAACUGUAUUAUGACCCAUGAUUUGUUAUCUCCACCUGUAACAUUCUUCCUCAGGUGAGGAGGCUGAGGCUUGGAGGUGUCAAGCGAUGUUUUUAAGAAGUGGCAAAGCUGGAAUUUCACCCCAGGUGUUCUUAAUAAAUGGCAAAGCUGAGAUUUAUGACCAGCACCAGGUGUAGCUUAUUCAUGGACUCCACGUGGGAUGAUCAAGAUUGACGUGAGAUGAAUCAGCAAGAGCGCAGCAUCUGGCUUUCCUGGCAUUUACAUUUCUCACUGUAAAUCAGUGGCUUUCAACUGGGGACGAUUCUGGCAACACCCCCACAGGCGACAUUUGGCACCAUCUAGAGACAUUUUUGGUCGUCACAAUUGGGGGAGAGAUGUGAUACUGGCAUCUGGAGAAUAGAGGCCAGGAACGCUGCUACAUGUGUCAUGAUGUCACCGCCACACACGACAGUCAUCCAGCCCCCAAAGUCAACAGUGCGGAGGCUGAGACACCUCGCUGGAGAUGACAAGUCCAUAUUUCUCCAUCACUCACCGUUCUAGGGGGUACAUGCUACUGUUUCCUGAUUACAUGACUGAGAAGACUGGGGUGAAAAAGUGAAGAAACCUGGCUAGAGUCAGCUAGUGAUGGAAAGUGGCUUGGAGGCCAGGUCUGCCUCCCACCGCUCCCUGAGUUGUUCAUCAGCAGAGCACGUGGUUUCUCAGAAACGGACCCUUCCGUGGGUGAAGACUGCAUGAAAAGUCGUUCCCAGGCUUACCUAUGUCUUACCUCUACUCUGUCAAACAAAUAAACAAUCAAACAAAACCGGGAGCCUGUCAUGACAGAUUAAAAAACUCCA